rnacentral:rRNA from 1 species
GAACGCGAAGAACCUUACCUGGUCUUGACAUGUCAAGGAGUCUGCAGAGAUGCGGAUGUGCCUUCGGGAACUUGAACACAGGUGCUGCAUGGCUGUCGUCAGCUCGUGUCGUGAGAUGUUGGGUUAAGUCCCGCAACGAGCGCAACCCUUUUCCUUACUUGCCAGCAUUUCGGAUGGGAACUUUAAGGAUACUGCCAGUGACAAACUGGAGGAAGGCGGGGACGACGUCAAGUCAUCAUGGCCCUUACGGCCAGGGCUACACACGUGCUACAAUGGUCGGUACAAAGGGUUGCUACACAGCGAUGUGAUGCUAAUCUCAAAAAGCCGAUCGUAGUCCGGAUCGCAGUCUGCAACUCGACUGCGUGAAGUCGGAAUCGCUAGUAAUCGCGGAUCAGAAUGCCGCGGUGAAUACGUUCCCGGGUCUUGUACACACC